rnacentral:lncRNA from 1 species
UUUUAAAUUUAUAUUUUAAAUCAAGAUAACAAAUUUGAAUUUUUGUGCAAAAUUAAAAUUAAGAAUUUAAAUUUAAGUUCGAAUUUGAAGUUUAAAUUCAAAUUUUAAAUUAUUUUAAAAUAAAAUUUAGUAAAAAAAUUAUUAUUUACAAAUUAUAAAAAAAUUUCUUCAACCAACUUUAAAAAAUCACUUUAGUUUUUUGCAUCUAAAUUUAGCGCAACAUGUUGCAGUUGUUAACCAAAAUUAAUUAUCCAAACCAAAAUCAAUUCUAUACAAAUUACUUUUUCAGAAUCUAGGAUAAACAUGCCUAUGAUCAAACACGGAGUUAGUGGUUUCUAUUUGAUUAUAAUGAGAUCAAUUUUGGGUCAAACCAUUACAGUUCUAGUUUGAAUAACUUGUAUAACUCGCUUGCACGCCAAUCUAUUAUCUAUUAAUUUAUAUAAAUUUUUAAUAUUUUUGCCACGUGGCAAUUUCUCCCCUUCACCCUCACCGAUCUCUAUUUUGAACGAAAUCGUCUCUUUUGAACCGAACCACCCAUCUGAACCGAACCGCCCAUCUGAACCGAACCGUUCCUCUCCUCUCUUAUUUGCCUCUUUUCUGAACCAAACCAUUCUUCUAACUUCUCUGGACCUCUGAAUUGAACAAAACUGUCACUCCCUCCUUUUUGCUUUUUUCUACGAUAGC